rnacentral:tRNA from 1 species
AUUUAUAUAGUUUAAAUAAAACAUUACAUUUUCAUUGUAAAAAUAAAAUAUAUAUUUUUAUAAAUU